rnacentral:rRNA from 1 species
CAGUAGCCGCGGUAAUACAGAGGGUGCAAGCGUUAAUCGGAAUUACUGGGCGUAAAGCGCGCGUAGGUGGUUUGUUAAGUUGGAUGUGAAAUCCCCGGGCUCAACCUGGGAACUGCAUCCAAAACUGGCAGGCUAGAGUAGGGCAGAGGGUGGUGGAAUUUCCUGUGUAGCGGUGAAAUGCGUAGAUAUAGGAAGGAACACCAGUGGCGAAGGCGACCACCUGGGCUCAUACUGACACUGAGGUGCGAAAGCGUGGGGAGCAAACAGGAUUAGAUACCCGAGUAGUCCCUGUCUCUUAUAC